CACUAAGAAGCUAAAUAGUUUCAAGCCUUAGCCUUUUAAGCUAAAAAUUGGUAAUUAACAACUACCCUUAGUGC
rnacentral:tRNA from 1 species